GCUGGCGCUGGCCGCCUCCUUAACUAAUAUACACCGGAACGCAGUGGGCGUACUGCUGGGUGCAGUUGCAUUAGGUGUUCUAGUGGGAUAUCCUUUCGGAGGUUCCGCGUACUUCCUGUGGAGUCCGGCUGCGCCCUUCCAGCUUAUAUGCUUCGCUUUAUUGUUGAAUCUCGUUUUACAGUAUGCGUUUCUGAAAGAAGACAACCAAUAUCAAGUG